UUUUUUUUUUUUUUCUUGGUGUAUCAGUCAGAGUUCUGCUAGAAAAAAGAUUGCAGAGGUAUAACAUGUAGCACAAGGAUGAUUUUCGAACUUGUAGAUGUUUAUGGGAUGGCGAUGUUCCCAGAGACUUGCAGGAACAGGGAGCCAUUCUCACCUGAGCAGUAGGGAUGGGACCCAUCAUCAGAGUCUGGGGAGGGAAUUGUGGCCAGGGGACAGGGAGGGCCCCUGACAAAAGCUUUGGUAAAGGCAUACCACUAUUGCUAAAACCAUGGCCAGUCGGGGAAGGAGCUGGGGAAAUCCAGGCCGUAGGCUCUCUCUCCUCCUACAUCAACAGCUGCUGCUACCUCCAUCAGCCUAACCCAGCUGGAGGCCAGGGGGAGAGGUGACUUAAGUGAUGUGGUCUGUAUAAGUCAUCCUCCCAGGGCACAGAGCAGGGUGGGGAGGAGUAGAGUGGGUCUUAAAAAACAAUCCAAGACUGUCCAGCACACAUGGAUGAAAACCUUGAUGCAAAAGGCAAAAGCAGGUCAUGGAAGUACAGCUAACUGAAAGGGAUUUUGUGAGGAUUUGGAGUUUUCCUGUGAUGACUCAGAGUACUUCCAGGGAGUACACGUAUAAAUACGUGCAUCUUGCACCAGUCUGGCUUUGGGAUGCAGAGAGCACACAGUGAAAACUGAUGCUCUCUACCAGGGCCAGGCUUGCUGUAGCUUCACACUCCUCCACACUUUAGAAAACCUGCAGGUGACCAGCAGGGAAGAUGAGUCUGAUGUUGCCUUCUGCACCCCCUGUCCACCCUGAUAAGAUGUUAUCAAUGACAAUGCGUGCCUGAAACUUCACUGGCAAUUUUAAUUUCACCUCAUCCGGUGGUCCUGUGAUCUCGCCCUGCCUCAAUAUGCUUUGUGAUGUUUUAUUACCUUGUGAAGUACGUGAUCUCUGUGACCCACACCCUAUUUGUGCACUCCCUCCCCUUUUGAAAAUCACUGAUAAAACUUGCUGGUUUCACGGCUCGGGGAACAUCACUGGUCCUGCUGACAUGUGAUGUCUCCCCCGGACACGCAGCUUUAAAUUUCUCUCUCUUGUGCUCUUUCCCUUUAUUUCUCAACCCAGCUGAGGCACUUAGGAAAUAGAAAAGAACCCACGUUAAACAUCGGGAGCGGGUUCUCCCGAUACACCAGAAGUGGCUCAUCCAGGCUCUGCAGGCUGAGUCCAUAGACUGUCAGAGAGUUGGUACUUCGCUGACUGAGGCCCCACAUCACAGGGGUGGGCCAAGGUCAGUGAAGCCCUGCACAUAUUCAAAGAAGCUAUUUCCACUUAUCACCACCAAGGGGGAGAAACAGGAAUGUUUUGCCUACUAUGAAAUGAGUAACGAAUGGACGAAUAAAUAUUUCUAAAUAGCAUACUCUUCAUGUAAACCUACCUUGCUAAAAUAACUGAAAAAUUUAAAAACACACACACACUUCUUUUUUAAUGCUUUAUUUUGGUAAAAUAUAUAUAACAUAAAAUUUAUCAUC
rnacentral:lncRNA from 1 species